UGCAGGCUCAUCCUGACAUCCUCCUCCCUCAUGUGUUACCCUUCCUGCAGGCUCAUCCUGACAUCCUCCUCCCUCAUGUGUUACCCUUCCUGCAGGCUCAUCCUGACAUCCUCCUCCCUCAUGUGGUGCCCUUCCUGCAGGCUCAUCCUGACAUCCUCCUCCCUCAUGUGGUGCCCUUCCUGCAGGCUCAUCCUGACAGAACCCUCCCUCAUGUGGUACCCUUCCUGCAGGCUCAUCCUGACAUCCUCCUCCCUCAUGUGGUGCCCUUCCUGCAGGCUCAUCCUGACAGAACCCUCCCUCAUGUGGUAUCCUUCCUGCAGGCUCAUCCUGACAGAACCCUCCCUCAUGUGGUACCCUUCCUGCAGGCUCAUCCUGACAGAACCCUCCCUCAUGUGGUGCCCUUCCUGCAGGCUCAUCCUGACAGAACCCUCCCUCAUGUGGUACCCUUCCUGCAGGCUCAUCCUGACAGAACCCUCCCUCAUGUGGUACCCUUCCUACAGGCUCAUCCUGACAUCCUCCUCCCUCAUGUGGUAUCCUUCCUGCAGGCUCAUCCUGACAUCCUCCUCCCUCAUGUGGUAUCCUUCCUGCAGGCUCAUCCUGACAGAACCCUCCCUCAUGUGGUAUCCUUCCUACAGGCUCAUCCUGACAUCCUCCUCCCUCAUGUGGUAUCCUUCCUGCAGGCUCAUCCUGACAGAACCCUCCCUCAUGUGGUGCCCUUCCUGCAGGCUCAUCCUGACAUCCUCCUCCCUCAUGUGGUAUCCUUCCUGCAGGCUCAUCCUGACAGAACCCUCCCUCAUGUGGUAUCCUUCCUGCAGGCUCAUCCUGACAUCCUCCUCCCUCAUGUGGUAUCCUUCCUGCAGGCUCAUCCUGACAGAACCCUCCCUCAUGUGGUAUCCUUCCUGCAGGCUCAUCCUGACAGAACCCUCCCUCAUGUGGUAUCCUUCUUGCAGGCUCAUCCUGACAGAACCCUCCCUCAUGUGGUACCCUUCCUGCAGGCUCAUCCUGACAGAACCCUCCCUCAUGUGGUACCCUUCCUGCAGGCUCAUCCUGACAGAACCCUCCCUCAUGUGGUACCCUUCCUACAGGCUCAUCCUGACAGAAC
ensembl:lncRNA